UACGAAGGGGGCUAGCGUUGCUCGGAAUUACGUGGCGUAAAGCGCACGUAGGCGGCUUUCUAAGUCGGGGGUGAAAUCCUGGAGCUCAACUCCAGAACUGCCUUCGAUACUGGAGAGCUCGAGUCCGGGAGAGGUGAGUGGAACUGCGAGUGUAGAGGUGAAAUUCGUAGAUAUUCGCAAGAACACCAGUGGCGAAGGCGGCUCACUGGCCCGGUACUGACGCUGAGGUGCGAAAGCGUGGGGAGCAAACAGG
rnacentral:rRNA from 1 species